rnacentral:rRNA from 1 species
CCUACGUGAGGCAGCAGUGAGGAAUAUUGGUCAAUGGGCGCGAGCCUGAACCAGCCAAGUAGCGUGAAGGAUGACUGCCCUACGGGUUGUAAACUUCUUUUAUAAAGGAAUAAAGUGAGGCACGUUUGCCUUUUUGUAUGUACUUUAUGAAUAAUGAUCGGCUAACUCCGUGCCAGCAGCCGCGGUAAUACGGAGGAUCCGAGGGUUAUCCGGAUUUAUUGGGUUUAAAGGGAGCGUAGAUGGGUUGUUAAGUCAGUUGUGAAAGUUUGCGGCUCAACCGUAAAAUUGCAAUUGAUACUGGCAGUCUUGAGUACAGUUGAGGUAGGCGGAAUUCGUGGUGUAGCGGUGAAAUGCUUAGAUAUCACGAAGAACUCCGAUUGCGAAGGCAGCUUACUAAACUGCCACUGACAUUGAUGCUCGAAAGUGUGGGUAUCAAACAGGAUUAGAUACCCAGUAGUC